rnacentral:rRNA from 1 species
AGACCCGAAACCCGGUGAUCUAGCCAUGGGCAGGUUGAAGGUUGGGUAACACUAACUGGAGGACCGAACCGACUAAUGUUGAAAAAUUAGCGGAUGACCUGUGGCUGGGGGUGAAAGGCCAAUCAAACCGGGAGAUAGCUGGUUCUCCCCGAAAGCUAUUUAGGUAGCGCCUCGUGAAUUCAUCUCCGGGGGUAGAGCACUGUUUCGGCUAGGGGGCCAUCCCGGCUUACCAACCCGAUGCAAACUGCGAAUACCGGAGAAUGUUAUCACGGGAGACACACGGCGGGUGCUAACGUCCGUCGUGAAGAGGGAAACAACCCAGACCGCCAGCUAAGGUCCCAAAGUCAUGGUUAAGUGGGAAACGAUGUGGGAAGGCCCAGACAGCCAGGAUGUUGGCUUAGAAGCAGCCAUCAUUUAAAGAAAGCGUAAUAGCUCACUGGUCGAGUCGGCCUGCGCGGAAGAUGUAACGGGGCUAAACCAUGCACCGAAGCUGCGGCAGCGACACUGUGUGUUGUUGGGUAGGGGAGCGUUCUGUAAGCCUGUGAAGGUGGCCUGUGAGGGUUGCUGGAGGUAUCAGAAGUGCGAAUGCUGACAUAAGUAACGAUAAAGCGGGUGAAAAGCCCGCUCGCCGGAAGACCAAGGGUUCCUGUCCAACGUUAAUCGGGGCAGGGUGAGUCGACCCCUAAGGCGAGGCCGAAAGGCGUAGUCGAUGGGAAACGGGUUAAUAUUCCCGUACUUGGUGUUACUGCGAAGGGGGGACGGAGAAGGCUAUGUUGGCCGGGCGACGGUUGUCCCGGUUUAAGCGUGUAGGUGUGUGUUCCAGGUAAAUCCGGUUCACUUUAACACUGAGGCGUGACGACGAGGCACUACGGUGCUGAAGCAACAAAUGCCCUGCUUCCAGGAAAAGCCUCUAAGCAUCAGGUAACAUCAAAUCGUACCCCAAACCGACACAGGUGGUCAGGUAGAGAAUACCAAGGCGCUUGAGAGAACUCGGGUGAAGGAACUAGGCAAAAUGGUGCCGUAACUUCGGGAGAAGGCACGCUGACACGUAGGUGAAGUGAUUUACUCACGGAGCUGAAGUCAGUCGAAGAUACCAGCUGGCUGCAACUGUUUAUUAAAAACACAGCACUGUGCAAACACGAAAGUGGACGUAUACGGUGUGACGCCUGCCCGGUGCCGGAAGGUUAAUUGAUGGGGUCAGCGCAAGCGAAGCUCCUGAUCGAAGCCCCGGUAAACGGCGGCCGUAACUAUAACGGUCCUAAGGUAGCGAAAUUCCUUGUCGGGUAAGUUCCGACCUGCACGAAUGGCGUAAUGAUGGCCAGGCUGUCUCCACCCGAGACUCAGUGAAAUUGAACUCGCUGUGAAGAUGCAGUGUACCCGCGGCAAGACGGAAAGACCCCGUGAACCUUUACUAUAGCUUGACACUGAACAUUGAGCCUUGAUGUGUAGGAUAGGUGGGAGGCUUUGAAGUGUGGACGCCAGUCUGCAUGGAGCCGACCUUGAAAUACCACCCUUUAAUGUUUGAUGUUCUAACGUGGACCCGUAAUCCGGGUUGCGGACAGUGUCUGGUGGGUAGUUUGACUGGGGCGGUCUCCUCCUAAAGAGUAACGGAGGAGCACGAAGGUUGGCUAAUCCUGGUCGGACAUCAGGAGGUUAGUGCAAUGGCAUAAGCCAGCUUGACUGCGAGCGUGACGGCGCGAGCAGGUGCGAAAGCAGGUCAUAGUGAUCCGGUGGUUCUGAAUGGAAGGGCCAUCGCUCAACGGAUAAAAGGUACUCCGGGGAUAACAGGCUGAUACCGCCCAAGAGUUCAUAUCGACGGCGGUGUUUGGCACCUCGAUGUCGGCUCAUCACAUCCUGGGGCUGAAGUAGGUCCCAAGGGUAUGGCUGUUCGCCAUUUAAAGUGGUACGCGAGCUGGGUUUAGAACGUCGUGAGACAGUUCGGUCCCUAUCUGCCGUGGGCGCUGGAGAACUGAGGGGGGCUGCUCCUAGUACGAGAGGACCGGAGUGGACGCAUCACUGGUGUUCGGGUUGUCAUGCCAAUGGCACUGCCCGGUAGCUAAAUGCGGAAGAGAUAAGUGCUGAAAGCAUCUAAGCACGAAACUUGCCCCGAGAUGAGUUCUCCCUGAGACUUUAAGUCUCCUGAAGGAACGUUGAAGACGACGACGUUGAUAGGCCGGGUGUGUAAGCGCAGCGAUGCGUUGAGCUAACCGGUACUAAUGAACCGUGAGGCUUAACCUUACAACGCCGAAG